CAACAAUUGGCGCCUCAAGUGGUCAUACACUUGUGACAUAUACUGUGCUGUUUACUUUAAAACAGCGGUAGCAGAAUUCCUUUAUCGGCUUAUCUAGCCUUACUUCGUAAACAUACAACAUCAUGUGAUUGGCUUGGUUUGAAUUUCCAAAAUCAUUCCGGGGCAUUUGGGAUCAAGUUGAUGGUAAUAGUCUGUUAUGCAAUUGCAUACAAACGCAUUUCAUUAUUCUGUUGCAGUCAUGAAGAUACUCUUUAUUUUACUGGUCUUCCUUGAAUUAGUGGAAGUAAAAUCUUAUAAACUGCCAGAGAAAAGAUUGAAUUUAAUGUCAGAAAAAGAGAUUGCUAAAUGUUUUUGCAAUGGUCGGCAUACAUGCUGUCCUUCUUUGUUUGGUCAUAAUUACUACUGUUGUAUUUUUGAAAAUGGAAGAUGUUGCGGGGACGGGACAUGCUGUCCCUAUGAUGUUAGAUGCGGUGAACCAUAUCAAUGUCUGGGGCCGCAUAAUAUGACCAACAAAUAAAUUGAAACGAUUUGCAUGCGCAUGUCGAGUGGAUUUUUUUACAUAAACUCCUGGCCGCGCUGACUUUAUUGAAGAUUUUUUCGUUUUUCCUUCGGUAAAUUUUGUUAAAAGUUCGUGUGGAUGUUUUAUAAUAAGAAAAAUUAUAACAUACGCAAAAUAGAAGAAAAUCUACCAUUAGGUUUAUAUGUAGCUGAAAUUCUUAAAUACCUCAAAAAAUUAUUACAUAGAAUUGUUUUAAUGUUAAACAUAAUGCUUCUUGAAUGAAUAAAAAUCGUCACGCAAAAAAUCAGAAAAACUCACCAAACCGAAAAAAAAAUACGAACAAUUCAUAAAAAACUAGAAGGUGAAAGUGUAAAAGAAAAUGAGACCUGGUUGCCAUAGCAACGCAAACAGUUAUCUUAUUUUAGCAUCUUCAGUCUUUACUGGCAUUCUUCAAUAUUCCCUCAUAGUUCAUACUUCCAAAGUUUGAGUGUAUUUGAUCCAAAUGAUUUUGUAAUUUAAGGCUACCCGAAACACCCGAAUCUCGGGUGAACUGUAGGGAGCCUCCUUAAGUAUAAAAGCUCAUUUUAGAUAAUAUAGCGUGUUAAAGUAGCAAAGUCUUUUCAUUUCUUUUUUUAAGAAAUUUAUCUGAUUAUAGUACAAACAAUAUAUCAAAUAUCAAAUAAUGA